AUUGAACGCUGGCGGCAGGCCUAACACAUGCAAGUCGAGCGAGCGGCGGACGGGUGAGUAAUGUAUGGGGACUGCCCGAUAGAGGGGGAUAACUACUGGAAACGGUGGCUAAUACCGCAUACUAUCGGAUAACCCAUAUGGGAUUAGCUAGUAGGUGGGGUAAAGGCUCACCUAGGCGACGACCUCUAGCUGGUCUGAGAGGAUGAUCAGCCACACUGGGACUGAGACACGGCCCAGAAUCCUACGGAGGCAGCAGUGGGGAAUAUUGCACAAUGGGCGCAAACCUGAUGCAGCCCUGCCGCGUGUAUGAAGAAGGCCUUAGGGUGGUAAAGUACUUUCAGCAGGGGGUCGUUACCCGAAGAAGAAGCACAGGCUAACUCCGUGCCAGCCGCCGCGGUAAUUC
rnacentral:rRNA from 1 species